ACCUCCUGCCCCAAAACGGCAAUGCGCCCGCCACCCCGCCCCCAACCGGCGGCGGCGCCACCACCGGCCGACAUCACCCCCCUCUUCCCGAGAUCCUCUUCGAUGCCACUACACUACCGGCCAACCUCGCGCGUCGCCACCCGCUGCAAACCUCGCCGCCGCGGCCUCUUACUGAAUACAACCGGCGGAGCUCGCCACGGCAACCACCGCGUUGUUCCUCUCGUCGCCGCCCUAGAGAGGAACCUCCCAAACAUGCGCCACGGUGGAGCUCGCCUGCCCCAGUGCCUCUUCUUCACGCAUGCCCUUCUUCCUCGCCGGAGCUGAUGUGGGCCGCCGCAUCACCCCGCUGGCCGGGAUCCCCCUCCCCUGCCCCCGCGCCGUCUUGGCCGACCACACUGACCUUCUCAUGAGGGCCACCUUGACCUUCCUGGAAUAUGGUUCAUCCAUGGAGUGGCCGCUCCCGCCCAUCCAUCUCCGGCGAGGUGCGCCAUCCCCUCCUUCAGUGCCCCCUUCGGGUGAAGCUCCAUGCCACCACCAUCAUCACGGCAUUCCAGCCACUAGCACGCACAUGUUGUUCUCCUCGUGACGACCAACUUGAACUUCCUGAGGAACUCUCCGGGAAUUAAACUCUCUGCUUUUGUCACAACUCUCGGCCUUGUUGUCUCCUUUGCCUGUUCUCUGCUUUACAGCGUCUCAAUAGCCAUGGAGAAACCUGAAGAUGCAGUUGGAGAAAACGAAGCACAACAAUAACGAUGACAAAGGCCAGAACGUACAGGCAGCGCUCCGACGAGAGGUCGUGCUUGCCGCCAGCCUCCUUUGCAUAAAGAGUAAGGCUUGAUGUUUAAUAAAAAAGAGUAAGGCAUUUACACUUUUCUUCAGGAAGACAUUUGUAAGUCAAAAAACAUGAACUUUUCUUCAACAAUGAUGUAAUGAUUGAGAACAAAGUUCUGCUAUGCCUGAGAAUAUAUGAAGUACGUGGCUGGUGUUUAUGCAAAUUUUAGUCAAAAAAGAAUUUUUUGAUGAUAUGCAUGUAGUUGUUGUUCGGUACUAAAAUUCAUAUUGUAUUUGUGCUACCGAAUUGAACAUUUGUAUUUAUGCAAAGAUACUUUUGUUGUCCCUACUGCUGAAUCACCCCCCCCCCCC